rnacentral:misc_RNA from 1 species
GAUGAAGAACGUAGCGAAAUGCGAUACGUAAUGUGAAUUGCAAAUUCAGUGAAUCAUCGAGUCUUUAAACGCACAUUGCGCCCCCUGGUAUUCCGGGGGGCAUGCCUGUCCGAGCGUCAUUGCUGCCCUCAAGCACGGCUUGUGUGUUGGGCCCCGUCCUCCGAUCCCGGGGGACGGGCCCGAAAGGCAGCGGCGGCACCGCGUCCGGUCCUCGAGCGUAUGGGGCUUUGUCACCCGCUCUGUAGGCCCGGCCGGCGCUUGCCGAUCAACCCAAAUUUUUUAUCCAGGUUGACCUCGGAUCAGGUAGGGAUACCCGCUGAACUUAAGCAUAUCAAUAAGCGGAGGA